rnacentral:rRNA from 1 species
GACGAACGCUGGCGGCGUGCUUAACACAUGCAAGUCGAACAGUGGCGAACGGGUGAGUAACACGUGAGUAACCUGCCCUCCACUUUGGGAUAACUCCGAGAAAUCGGGGCUAAUACUGGAUAGUGGGGGAUGGUCUCUCGGCCUAUCAGUUUGGUGGUGGGGUAGUGGUCACCAAGGCGUGACGGGUAGCCGGCCUGCGAGGUCGACAGGCCACACUGGGCGUGAGACACGGGCAGGACUCGUACGGGGGGCAGCAGUGGGGAAGAUUGCACGAUGGGCGAAAGCCUGAUGCAGCGACGCCGCGUGGGGGAUGACGGCCUUCGGUUUGUAAACCUCUUUCAGCAAGGAAGCGGGACUAGCAGAAGAGGCGCCGGCUAACUACGUGCCAGCAGCCGCGGUAAUUC